rnacentral:rRNA from 1 species
AGUGAACGCUGGCGGUAGGCCUAACACAUGCAAGUCGAACGGCAGCACAGUAAGAGCUUGCUCUUACGGGUGGCGAGUGGCGGACGGGUGAGGAAUACAUCGGAAUCUACUUUUUCGUGGGGGAUAACGUAGGGAAACUUACGCUAAUACCGCAUACGACCUACGGGUGAAAGCAGGGGAUCUUCAGACCUUGCGCGAUUGAAUGAGCCGAUGUCGGAUUAGCUAGUUGGCGGGGUAAAGGCCCACCAAGGCGACGAUCCGUAGCUGGUCUGAGAGGAUGAUCAGCCACACUGGAACUAAGACACGGUCCAGACUCCUACGGGAGGCAGCAGUGGGGAAUAUUGGACAAUGGGCGCAAGCCUGAUCCAGCCAUACCGCGUGGGUGAAGAAGGCAUUCGGGUUGUAAAGCCCUUUUGUUGGGAAAGAAAAGCAGCAGGUUAAUACCCCGCUGUUCUGACGGUACCCAAAGAAUAAGCACCGGCUAGCUUCGUG